rnacentral:lncRNA from 1 species
CUAUAUUAAGAAACCUUUUGAUUUGCAAGUGCUCAGGGAAAACAUUAUCAGAUAGGUGAUAGCUCUCAGAAAGCAGUGUUAGUUCUAGCACUUGAAUUUCUUGUACUCAAUUACAAUUUUGGUUUAUUAAAUGGCAAUCUCAUUUUAUUUGCUCUUACUACCCACUGGGCUUUGCUUUUGAUAAUGUUUAGGACAUACCCUGUGAAUUUAGCCCUCAGGAAAAUGCCUUUGAUGAUUCCUGCAAUUGACCUCCAUAUUAAAAACGUUAUGUCCAAGAGACAUAAUAUGUUACCUAGAUGCAAUGCAACUUGUAAAGAAACAUGGCAGACAGCCUUGAUUUGUCACCUCAUCUAUUUUCUUCAAAUUUAUGAUCUAUAGAAUGGAGUUUUUCAAUGUUUUCCUCAGCAGCUAACUUGCUAUUGUAUAGUGAUAUGUAUAAUUGUAGGACUAAAAAUUCUAGAGAUUAUUUAAGUAUUCCUCUCUAGUUAUGUGUGUGUGUGUGUGUGUGUGUGUAAUUGGAGACUGUUUACAUGUCAAAUUAUUAAUUUUUCUUCACAUCAUCAACACAUCAUACAUAAUCAGAAUAGUUUUUUUUCCAGCAGAUUAUUUCUAUAUAGAUCACUAGGGGUGACCAAAAAUUUAAUUGACUGUGUUAUUUUAGUUAAGUCAGACUCUAGUUUCUGGGGGGGGGGAUCCUUUAGAAGAUGAGGACUCCGGCUUAUUGCUAUGGCUGUUUUAUGCUUGCUAAGUUACCUAUUUGUUGUUCAAGGCUAGCAACUCAUUUAGCAAGUAAAAGCUUCUUCCUUACUUUUAAUUGUUCUUAAAGUUACUACCAAGAGUCUUGGAAUUUGUAUAAUGGAUUUCUAAUUAAUAAAGAAAAAAUGUUUAUGCUACUCAAUUUUAAAGAAAAGAGAAUGAAUUGCAUUAUUGACAGUUAUCAUCAUGCUGUUUGUCAAUGAUGAUAUAAACCCUAACCCUAACCCUAACCUAGUUCAAUUAAUCUACAAGAACAUUCUUCAAACAAAGGAAUCCAACAAGAACAAAAUCACUGCAGUGCCUUAUCAAUUCUGCUGGUAGAAAAUUCAGAUUAUAGAGGUGUUGAAAACUAAAUGAAUCAGUGGGGCCUUAGACGCAAUAGCAUACUACAAAGAAUUUGGAGAGAUGAAAUGAACGUGGACAAAAGAGCAAGUGAAUCACAAUGUUUACAUAUGAAAUUUCAACCAAAGAACCAAUAGUAAGAAAUGCCAUGCUAUCUUCUAAAACGUUUCUAAAUUUCAACCAAAGAACCAAUAGUAAGAAAUGCCAUGCUAUCUUCUAAAACAUUGAAUGAAGUUUCUUGAUUCUCAGAACCAUGUACCCAUUUCAAGGGGACAAAUCUUGGUCUGUGUAAAUUAAAGGGUAUUUUCAAAGAGGAACUGUUUGAAACUUCUACUAGUUAGUCCUCAAAACACCUUCUACCAAGAGAGAAGAAUAGAGGUUGUCCCAUCUUCACCUCAAGCAUAAUAAUACAAUUUUCAGUGGCAUCAAUUAGGGAGCUUAAUACAUAUCCCCAGCAUUUAAUCAGGUAUAGGACACAAGAAAAUCUAACGUGCUUUUUUUGCAAAAUAAAAGAGAGGUGGUUUCUGUACCGGGAUUGGAGUCCAUCUCCAGAAAUUGCUGGACAAAAAAAUACUAGAGUUUCCACGUGAAAGACAGAGUUGAUCCAGAACCAGAUUUAAACCUUUUCAGUUGUCCAUCUGAGAAGGCAAUGAGAUGUGCACAAAUAAUCUGGAUGAAGUGGGACUCCAGAAAACCAUGAGCCAAGGGAGGAGCAUUUUCUGGGGGGAAUAAAAACACACUGCCCUUGUGAAAUGAAGAGAAGUCAAGUGUUCUCAAGUACUCCCUCUAAAGAUUCAUUCUUGAAAGAAUUUCCUCUAAACAUUUGGCAGUUUCUAAGACGUCAAGAUAAUGAAGCUGGCUUAUAGUCUUACCAGCCAAGUAAGAACUUUCCUUCUUCUACUUUCUAUCUCCUCUCAUUUAUAAUCCUGAAAGAGUCCAGACCCAACAGUGGUGUGUUGGGGGAGGACAGGUAGAAUCUUAAGGAGGGGAAGAGAAGGACUGCAUUUUCAUUUCCACUAGAAAGAGAGAAAAUUUUAAGUUUAUAUCACGUUCAAAAUUUUAUUUGCUAAAUGGAUUAUUCAUAUAGCUAGUAUAUUGUGACCAUGCUUGUGACAAAAUGAGACCAAGAGAUUUUGUAUUACUUACAAGUGACAGGAAAAAAAAUACUGACCAUGCUCAGGAUUUUAAUCAUGAGCAGAGGAAGAAACUAUUCCACUCUAUUCCUUUUUCAAAACAGUGGAGAUAAAAAUAGAGUUGCCUUUGCUAUCAUACUCUGUGAGCCCUGGCCUGCUCAAUGUAUUAUUUGACCAUGAAUAAUCUGUAAACAAAUUGAUAGUCCAGUAUUAACAUGUUCACAACGUAUAUGAUAAUAUGUAUUUUUAAGACUUUUUUUUUUUUUGUCUUUUUGCCAUUUUCUUGGGCCACUCUCGCGGCAUAUGGAGGUUCCCAGGCUAGGGGUCUAAUCGGAGCUGUAGCCACCAGCUUAUGCCAGAGCCACAGCAAUACAGGAUCCGAGCCACGUCUGCAACCUACACCACAGCUCACAGCAAUGCCGGAUCGUUAACCCACUGAGCAAGGGCAGGGAUCGAACCUGCAACCUCAUGGUUCCUAGUCGGAUUCGUUAACCACUCCGCCAUGACGGGAAUUCCUUUUAAGACUUUUGAAUGAGAGUUGUUGUACAUAAUUUUUUCAGGCAUUUUAGUAGCCAUUUAGCUAUGAACAGAAUGAUUGUUUUAUUUUAAAGACUUCCAAACAAUCAAAUAAGUAUGGCUAACUUAUAGAUGUCUAACAAAUAAGCAAUAAAAAAAAAAAAACCACUGGAAGAGUCUAGAGAAGUAUGAAAAAUCUAAAUCUCAUUUUCCUGAAAGCAUAGGAAGCUAAGUUAUCAAUGUUAGACAUUAAUUUUUCUAAGAUUUUUAUGUGUAUGUAGGAGACAGAAAUAACACAGUAGAAAGAAAUCUUUAUACAAAAUCAAAUAAAAAUAUAUUUCAAAAAUAAAUUUUGUGAAGAAAUGUAGUAGUAUUUUACAGUUUAAAAACCCUACUGUCAUUUUAUUUAUUUUGCCAUCAAUCCUGUGGGAGAGGUAAGGCCACAAACAUUACUACAUUUACAGAUGGGAAAACUGAGCCCGAAAAAGUUCAAGUGUUUUGCCUAACACCAUACAAAAUUUUAUCAGCAAAGCUAGGACUGGAACCUAGGGAUCUUCCCAUGUUCUAAAACAGAGGUGUGGAUUUCAAAUACAAAUUGGAGAUUUUCUUUAAUAAUUUAUUAAAACAAAGGAUUUUGAGAGAGUACUUUAGGAAUUUUGUGCAAAUUGACUAAUUUUUCAAUCUGAGAAAACCAUUUAAUGCCUAAAAACAUGUGGGUCUAUGAUUAUCUCAAAAUAAAAAGUUUAAUUAAACAGAAACCCAUGAGGUUUGGUGGCUGAUUUGCCUAGCAAACACUCUCACUUCUAAUAGCUCCUCAAUUUCCCACAGGUAACUACCUCUCACCUGUUCUCAGCCUACCUGAUUUGGGUGAGCUGACUCUAUCCCCUUUUCUACAGGUGGCAUGUGGCCUAAGUUUGACCUUCUGCAGCAACAUAUCCCCUUGGUCUCUGUGACUGGUCAGGGUUGGGCACUUGACCCGAUCAACAGUCAUCAGGGUUGAUCCUGAGAUUUUUGCUGAUGCACUUUAUAAUGAAGUGUACUCAUUUUCACUCUUCCUUAAUCUGGUUGGAUGGAAUCCAGGAUCUACAGGAAUACACCAUGUAAAGACAAUCUGCCUAAGAAGGAAGGCAGCACAGAAGAAAACUAAGCCAAAGAUGGUAGGAAAGUUUCCAGGUGCCAUUAUUUUAGAACUUGAACACAGAUGUGCCCAAAGCACCUCUAGCUUCCCCAGUUUUUAAUUUAUGAGGUUGUCAUUGCCCCCCUUUGUCUUGUGUUCUUUUGAAUCAAGAUUCCACCACUUACAAUCCAGGGAGUUCUAAAAUACACAUGGUGUCAAUAUAGCCAAAUGAUUUCCUCUGAAACAGUUUUCUAGAAACCCUCAUUAAUGCACUUCACAGAAACCAUUCUGUGUGAGGUAAGUGAUUUCAGUAACUUUAUACAUUUUAAAGCCAGCUAUCCCACUUUUUCAUGCUUUUUCUAUUUCAUGUAAAAAGGGAGGAAUAAUUUUUCUCUGAUGAGCAGUUUCAAUCAGGUGUUUCUGUGCUUAUCUCCAUCUUCAGUUUGCAUCAUGUUGAAACUGCUGUGUUAUCUGUUUCCCUUCCUAUCCCAUAAAACCCUUGAGGUCAGGGGCUAUGUUUUAUUAUUUUUUUAUUUUCAGGGUUUUAUUGGUUUGUUUUUUAGGGCCACACCUGUGGCAUAUGUAAGUUCCAAGGCUAGGGGUUGAACUGCAGCUGCCAGCUUACAUCACAGCCACAGCAACACCAGAUUUGAGCCGAGUCUGCGAUCUAAACCACAGCUCACAGCAACGCCAGAUCCUUAACCCACUGAGUGAGUCCAGGGAUGGAACCUGCAUCCCCAUGGAUACUAGCUGGAUUCAUUACCACUGAGGCACGACGGGAAUUCCUGUGUUUUAUUCUUAAUCGUGUCUCACUAUCCAGCUUUCAAUGAAUACUUGUUUGGCAAGCAAAUAACACAAACGUCAAUAUUUUAAAACUUCAAAAUUAUUGUCACAAUGUGAACAUGUCUUUUGUUGUGACUAUAAUCGUCCAGCAUUUAAGUUAGCCCAAGUUUAAAGCCUUAGAAAAAUUACAAUAAACAUAAAAAGAAUAUCAUAAAGAAAUAGACAUUAAAAAUUUUAAGUCUAAAAUUAUUGUAACAAGUCCUUGAAUUUUGAAGGUUAGGUUCCCUUUAUCAAUGUAUCCUUUAACAGUGAUAUUACCUGACUUUUCACAUAAAACACACUGAGCAUGUCUCUGAUCUGUCACAAUAACCAAUUAGCACAGGUGAUGUGCUUUAACAUGACUGCUAUUUCCUUUGCUGUGUUCUUAAAUGUAAAUAAGCAAGUAAAUAAAUAAAUAAAUAAGGGGCUAGAUGAAGUAAAUUAGUAGUAUCUACCUGAAGGCUGGGAAACUGAAACUCUUAAAACUGUGAGACUAAAUCAACAACCGAUAUUUAUUCAAAUGCUUACAAUUGUCCAGCCUAUGCAGAGCACCUGUCUUGGUGUUAACUAGCAUUUAACUGCUGUGUGAGUGGCUGCUAGGCUCUACUUACUGCUAUGAAUUAUUUUAGAUUCUAAAGUCUGUGUUUGCAUUAUAAGCCCUCCUAUUUGGCUCCCUCCCAAGCCUACCAUAGCCUGUUCCAGCCUACUCACUCAGCAAGGCUGCCUGGUACAGGAGCAAAGCACUGUGCGAAAUCCAUUUAUGUCCCACAGGACAGCCCACCCUCAUCACACCUGUUCCACUUGAAGCUGAACAAACGGGUCCAGGUGUACAGUGACCCAUAGCAACAGGGACUAAAGCCAGGGCCACCUGUCUUGCUAGGUAGCAGAGGGAAAUAUUUUUCUAUAAGACUACACAUUGCCAGUUUGAGGCAAAUUAAUGUCUCUAACUGGAGGAACACUUUGCAAGGAAAGUAAAGGUACUGUUCUCUUCUAGAUAGAGAUAAAAACAGCAACAACAACUAGUGUUGCUAUUGCAAGGAAAAUAAGAAUGCAGUUGCCCUCCAAAAGACUUUUAAAGAUAUCUAGUGUUGGUUAUUCACCAUAUACAAAAAUAAAGUUGAAAUGGAUUAAAGAACUAAAUGUAAGACCAGAAACCAUAAAAUUACUAGAAGAAAACAUAGGUGGGAAAUGCUUGACAUAGAUUGCAGCAAUAUUUUUGGAUUUGUCUCCUAAAGCAAAGGAAAUAAAAGAAAAAAUAAAUAAAUGGGACCUAAUUAAAUUUAAAAGCUUUUGCACAGCAAGGGAACUAUUGACAAAAUGAAAAGACAACCUACUAAAUGGGAGGAAAUAUUUGCAAAUAAUAUGACUGAUAAAGGGUUAAUAUCCAAAAUAUAUCUGAACAGCUCAUACAAUAUAAAAAAACAACCCAAACAACCCAAAUUAAAAAUGAUCAGAAGAGCUGAAUAGACAUUUUUUUCAAAGAAGACAUGCAGAUGGCACAUGAAAAGAUGAUCAACAUC